AUCCAUGAGAAGACACAGUGUUCCAUCCAGAGGAUGUAGCAUCAAGGCGUCAUCUUAAAAGCAGAGAAAAGACUCUUACUUGACACCAGAUGCCAGUGCAUUGAUCUUGGACUUCCCAGCCUCUAGAACUGUAAACAGCCCUGGGACAAAGAACAGACUACGGGUAUUGCCUUCUUAAUCAACAAUAAAGUAUUAGUUGGCUUCCAGGCAGACACCACUGACUUUCAAGAGAAAGGCACGGGAGUAAGGAAGUAAAGAAUUCAGGGCAAACGUCGAGCUUUCCUCUGGGCUCCAAUGUAAAAGAAGUGGAUAGCGGCUGACUAGUGUACAUAUUAUGUAUGCAGACUUUGAAGGAAUCCCCCUUGUUUUUAGCUGUUCUUCCAUUGCUCCUGGAGACUCUGAGCUCAGAGAUUUUCUAGGCUCUGAUGGGCAGAGUGGCUCGUUUCCUCCCUGAAGUUUCCUUCAUGCCACAUUCUGGAUUACAACCUCCUCCAAAGAGUGUCAUCUGUCAAUAUAAUGUCAUCUCUUGAUUUCUCUGUUUUCUUUUCUUCACUAUAAUAGGUGCUGCUUGAAAAUACAACAAACUGUCUUCAGAAUACUUUUAUGUGUUGUUGAAAGAAAGCACUGCAGCUAAUAUAGCUACAAAGGAGAAACAGUUAUUCUUAAAUGUCAUCUAUUUGCUGGACCUGAACAGGAAUUCACUAUGGAGCUCAUACAACUACCACCUUCAGCUAUUAAUCAAGGAGUCAUUCAACUGAGAAAGGGGAGAUUGAGAUGUUGAAUCAUUUCUCAUUCUGUGAAGUCUACCAGAAUAACCCAUAAAGCAAAUAUCAACCUAUUUCAAGUGAGUUGUGCAAGAAAAUUAUUUAGAAUAAAAUGAUAGUUUGUUUUUUCAAUUCA
rnacentral:lncRNA from 1 species